ACGUAGGAGGCGAGCGUUAUCCGGAUUUACUGGGCGUAAAGCGCGUGCAGGCGGAUUGGAUAGUUGGAUGUAAAAGCUCCCGGCUUAACUGGGAGAGGUCGUUCAAUACUUCCAGUCUUGAGUGCAGUAGAGGGAAGUGGAAUUCCGGGUGUAGUGGUGAAAUGCGUAGAUAUCCGGAGGAACACCAGUGGCGAAAGCGGCUUCCUGGACUGUAACUGACGCUCAGACGCGAAAGCUAGGGUAGCAAACGG
rnacentral:rRNA from 1 species